UCCCUGGAGGACUAGUGGUUAGGCCUCGUCACUCUCACCGCCAUGGCCCGGGUUCAAUUCCCAGCCAGGGAA
rnacentral:tRNA from 1 species